rnacentral:lncRNA from 1 species
UAAAGUUUAUGCUAGCUGACUCACUAAUCAAAGACGUGACACCUAAGGUCUUUCAUAUUAUUUUUGUCACUAAGGAUGUCUUGGAUCAGUGGGAGUCUCUAAUUUGUUAUGUUCUAACUUUGGUAUUGAUAAAGAUACAUGUUUUGUUAAGGUUUUCUGCAGAAAUAAAGUUUGAGGUUAUUAUUGUUAUAACCGGGUAUGUAUCUUUGGUGCAAAUAUUGAAUUUGCAAACUACAGUUUGAUCUCACUAAAGUUUUCAGUUGGACCAGUUGGAAAUAGGCAUG